GUGCUCAGUUUAUCAGCACAUGUACUUCAACUGGAACAACACAGAGAUUAGCAUGGCUGCUGCACAAAGAUGACAUGCAGAUUCGUGAAACAUUCCAUAGUUUU